UACGUAGGGGGCAAGCGUUGUCCGGAUUUACUGGGCGUAAAGCGCGUGUAGGCGGGCGACUAAGUCGGAUGUGAAAUCCCUGGGCUCAACCUAGGAACUGCAUUCGAAACUGGUCACCUAGAGUGAUGGAGAGGAAAGCGGAAUUCCCGGUGUAGAGGUGAAAUUCGUAGAUAUCGGGAGGAACACCAGUGGCGAAGGCGGCUUUCUGGACAUUUACUGACGCUGAGACGCGAAAGCGUGGGGAGCAAACAGG
rnacentral:rRNA from 1 species